GACGAACGCUAGCGGGAUGCCUUACACAUGCAAGUCGAACGGAGUGGCGAACGGGUGAGUAAUGCAUGGGAAUGUGCCCAGUAGCGGGGGAUAACUACGCGAAAGCGUAGCUAAUACCGCAUACUAUUGGAGCGGCCGAAAUCGGAUUAGCUAGUUGGUGGGGUAACGGCUCACCAAGGCGACGAUCCGUAGCUGGUUUGGGAGGAAGACCUGCCACACUGGAAUAGGGACACGGCCCAUACUCCCACGGAAGGCCACGGUGGGGAGUUUAUGACAAUGAGGGAAACCCUAGUCCAGCCAUCCCGCGUGUAUGAUAAAGGCCUCCGAAUUGUAAAGCACUUUUGGCAGGAAAGCGGUACCUGCAUAAUAAGCACCGGCUAACUACGUGCCAGCAGCCGCGGUAAUAC
rnacentral:rRNA from 1 species